AAGCGUUAUCCGGAUUCACUGGGUUUAAAGGGUGCGUAGGAGGGCAGGUAAGUCAGUGGUGAAAUCUCCAAGCUUAACUUGGAAACUGCCGUUGAUACUAUCUGUCUUGAAUACCGUGGAGGUGAGCGGAAUAUGUCAUGUAGCGGUGAAAUGCUUAGAUAUGACAUAGAACACCAAUUGCGAAGGCAGCUCGCUACACGAAUAUUGACUCUGAGGCACGAAAGCGUGGGGAUCAAACAGG
rnacentral:rRNA from 1 species